rnacentral:rRNA from 1 species
GGAGGAGGCAAGCGUUAUCCGGAAUUAUUGGGGGGCGUAAAGAGUCCGUAGGGCGGGUUUAUCAAGUCUGGGGUCAAAGACCGGAGCUUAACUCCGGAACGGCCGUGGAAACUGAGAGACUAGAGACCGGUAGGGGUAGAGGGAAUUCCCAGUGUAGCGGUGAAAUGCGUAGAGAUUGGGAAGAACACCAGAGGCGAAGGCGCUCUACUGGGCCGGGACUGACACUGAGGGACGAAAGCUAGGGGAGCGAAAGGGAUUAGAUACCCCUGUAGUCCUAGCCGUAAACUAUGGAGACUAGGCGUGGCUUGUAUCGACCCGGGCCGUGCCGAAGCCAACGCGUUAAGUCUCCCGCCUGGGGAGUACGCACGCAAAGUGUG